AGUGCUUCGUUUGUGCAGGUCAUCCAGAGGUCACCAUCCCCCCAUUUUGCUCCAAAUUGAACCGGAGUGGUCUACCUUUUUAAUGCUGUUUGUGCCGCUUUUAUGUACAAGCUAUAUAAUUUUCUUUCAGGCGAUCACUGACGACUUAAAUCGAUGACGUCUAUGGCCUGCGCUGAACAGCAUCACCACCAAGCAAGCAGUUAUUAAUUUCGUGUUUUUCUUUCAUCAUGCAAGUUAAAUUGUGUUUUUAUCCGAUGUUGUAAAAUGUAUGCCUUGUUAUAGUGUUUUGCACUUUAUUCCUUAAUAAAGAUUAUGAAACUUU